UAGAGGGGUGUCUUUGGGGCGGCAUUGUCUAUGUUCCUUGGAACAGGACGUCACAGAGGGUGAGAAUCCCGUGCGAUGAUGCCUCAACCAGUACAAGACCCUCUCGACGAGUCGAGUUGUUUGGGAAUGCAGCUCUAAGUGGGUGGUAAAUUCCAUCUAAAGCUAAAUACUGGCGAGAGACCGAUAGCGAACAAGUACAGUGAUGGAAAGAUGAAAAGCACUUUGAAAAGAGAGUGAAACAGUACGUGAAAUUGUUGAAAGGGAAGGGUAGGAGGUGAGGGGAAGAGCUGCUUAGGCGCGGGAGAUAAACAAGCAGGAAGCGCUUCGGUGCGGCCUGGUAAAUAUCCCGUGCUUGUGUGGUUCUUCCGUAAUCCCCUUCUACCGC
rnacentral:rRNA from 1 species